rnacentral:tRNA from 2 species
UGCCUCAUAGCUCAAUGGCAGAGCAAGCGGCUGUUAACCGCGCGGCUGUAGGUUCGAGUCCUACUGAGGCAG